UAUAUACUAUAUAUAAGCAUUUUCCAUGUCUAAAGUUGUAAUUUACAUCCUAUUUUUUAAGAUGGCAUGUGAAAAGGUAGUUAAAAUCCCUAAUUUUUUACCUUUUUCUUCCCAUUAUACCCCUCUUAACCUUCUUUCAUCAAUUCUAACCUAUGAUAAAACUGAAACCGUCUAAAAUGAUAAUCACCUUCUUCAAUGUGCAAUUCAAUUCAUACCUUUAAGUCUUCAACCCCUCCGACUUCACUUAAAUCAGCCUUCAAUUCGGCAAACGAAGCAAAUUGGACUUCAAUUUAUUCAAUGGAGCAUGCCUUCAAUUCGAUUUUGGUAUUAAAGAAGUAAUCUCAUCACCCUGGUCUUUUUAAUCCCAUCCCCUGGUUGUUCAUGCCAUAUUUUGACUUGAACUCGAACGAAACACAACAAUAACCGGAAUAUCUGAAGCCACCAGCUAUGGAGUCUGUGCUCUCCUUCUAUUUGCCACCGUGUUUGAUUCUUUUAUCUCAACAUCCCAACGCAGGUAACUCUAAUUUCAAUCGUUAGGGUUUUGAUUGAUGAUUUGUUGUUUUUUUUCUUGCUUUUUAUAAUAGAUCUGGAUUCUGGAAACUGCUGCUUCAUGCUUACUACAAUUAGUAUUGACAGAGGUUUACUAACAAUGGAUCUUCGUUUUGGCGAUGUCAUUGAUGACGCGGCUCGAUACUUUAAGGAUGCAUAUAACAGAGUAGAGCUAUAACGGACACACAACGGAGAUUCCAUUUUCCGGUGUCGGUUUCAUCAUUACAAGAGCGGUAGGGUUGUUUUUGGAGAGUACAACCGUUACUCCGAUUGUUUGGUUGUGAUAGAAAAUAUUCAAGGGCGGACUAGAGUUCAGGAUAGGAAUCCAGUCGCACCAUAGGUACAUCUUCAAUGAUCAGUCCGGUUUCUGAUCCCUCACGAAGCCCUUUGCUCAAACCGUGCACGUCGACGUCCACUCAGGACAAAUAGACGGAAGGAAAAUCAACUUAGUCGCCACCACCGUUGCCAAGCAUCGUUGGCAACUAUUUACGAGCACAACUUUACGUUAAAACACGUAUGAAGAUUGUUAGCGAAAUGAUAAUGUUGUCAAAUUUUCUAAAUGGUUUACCAUGGAAAACAAAUGGUUUGUCAUCGAGGAGGAUUUAAGCAACUCGAAGUCUUGAUAUAAUGGAAGCUGCAAGGGUUGGAGGAAUGGGACGUGGAGGACAAAGCAAAGGACAACCUUAAAAAUUAGACAUCAGACGUUGCCAUAAGUUAAAAAACAACCCUUGCAGAAUACUAAUAAAAUCAAGGCACCUGGAGAGAUUAAAUUGACAUACAUGCACAAUGACUCUCUAGACCAGAUCACAAAGGAAAUAUCCAGACAUUACUCUUACAACCAACCAUUAGAAGUUAGUUCCCUUGCAUUAAUGGAAGAUAAAAGUAUGCAAGGACAAAGCUCCAAAAGACGUAUGAAUGCUUAUGAAAAGAGUAGAAUGUCAAGGAUUCAAUAGAAUCAAAAAAAAUUACAAGCUUUGGGAUUGAAAAAUAUUGUUAAAUCUUUGAGAAGUCUAGCAGAGAGUGACAAAACAAAGAAAAAGAAAAAGAAAUCAAUGGAUACCAACGAGAAAGAUAUAGAUGUAGAGUAUAUGCUUGGUUCUGAUGUUGAUGUUGAGCAAGAUUAUCAAGAAGCUGCUACAAAAAUCUCUAAAAAGAAACAAUGUCCAACAUACAUUGCUCCGCAGUCCCUGAAAAGAUAUACUAAUUUGUUUGAAAACUAAAAUCUACGUCGAAGAUGAAGUUUUCCUCAAAAGCAUUCUAAACUCUACCGAGAUUGUUGCAAGAGGAAGGGUCCAGAGCUUGGACCCAAAUGAUCUAGUUGGUGGUACAGAGAUUGGACCAGAAUGGUGUGAGGUAAAUGUUCAAGUACCAAUAAAAAAGAUGAAAACUUGGUAAGACCAUAUGGUUUAUUUUCUACAAUUCAAGAUUGUAUUGGUGCAUCCAUCGCAUGGCCCUAUCCAUUCAUCUCGGUAGUCUAUGAGGAUUGAGGAUGCAUGAUGAAUCAAGAUUCUAUGCUUCUUAUUUCUUUAAUUGCUUUUAAUUUCUUUGUUGAAUGUUAAGACCUUAUGUUAGAUAAUGUUAUAACUUAUUUAUGGUUA